UGAGAAAUGCGUGAGGUUUGAGAACUGAGUUCUGGACUUUCCUUCGUGUCCUCACCUUUUCCUUUUCUUUUCUUUUUUUUUAUUAUUAUUUAUUUUCUUUUUAUUAGGCAGACCUUUAAAUCCCCACUAAGUGAACGUUCAGACUUCUCAUUUGGUCAUUAAAUUUGGUUUAUUGGUAUUAGUUGUAAUUAAUUAUUAUUUUGUGUACCCAAUCCCUAAUCUUUUGAACCCAACAGCCAGGCGGCUAGGGUCACCUUUUGGGAUUCCUCCUUUU
rnacentral:lncRNA from 1 species